GACGAACGCUGGCGGCGUGCCUAAUACAUGCAAGUAGAACGCUGAAGGAGGAGCUUGCUCUUCUGGAUGAGUUGCGAACGGGUGAGUAACGCGUAGGUAACCUGCCUGGUAGCGGGGGAUAACUAUUGGAAACGAUAGCUAAUACCGCAUAAGAGUAGAUGUUGCAUGACAUUUUCUUAAAAGGUGCAAUUGCAUCACUACCAGAUGGACCUGCGUUGUAUUAGCUAGUUGGUGGGGUAACGGCUCACCAAGGCGACGAUACAUAGCCGACCUGAGAGGGUGAUCGGCCACACUGGGACUGAGACACGGCCCAGACUCCUACGGGAGGCAGCAGUAGGGAAUCUUCGGCAAUGGACGGAAGUCUGACCGAGCAACGCCGCGUGAGUGAAGAAGGUUUUCGGAUCGUAAAGCUCUGUUGUAAGAGAAGAACGAGUGUGAGAGUGGAAAGUUCACACUGUGACGGUAUCUUACCAGAAAGGGACGGCUAACUACGUG
rnacentral:rRNA from 1 species